UAGUGUCUGGGCGUGUGGAAAGACACUUAGAGCAAGAUCCAGAUUCGGAAGAAAAAGGGCUUUGACUGUCACUGUUUGCCCCUGGGAAUGAAGCUGUCAAACCUGGCCAGGAACUCCUCCACCUGUGGCUCACACAAGCCUGUCUGAGCCGGUUGCUUUCCCUGUCAGUCCCCUGGUUGUUAAGUGCCCUUCUCCCUGGUCUGCUAUCUGAACUGCAGCAAGGAACAGUGGGAAGGCCAAGCAGGUGUUUGGGUGGCGCCUGCUAGUCUGCUUUGGCUGAGGUGUUUUCCUGGCCCCUGACACCGAAUCCAUCAAGAGAAAACACACAGAAUUCUCACAUCUAUUGGUGAGGUGAAAGGCUCAGAAGCCCAACCCUGGAAACAGCGUACUGCACAGGAGAAGCCGCAGGUACAGUAAAGAGAAGACCAAAGGCGGAAGAACUAUAGACGGCCUACACUAUGAAUGGCAAAGCUAUUGGAAAAAAAAUUAAUUGAAA